GGGCCAUCUCUGAGAGAGGCUGAAUGCAGUGACCGUCCCCACUGCUGGAGCCAACACCCCCCCAGGCCCAUCUGUAUACCAAGCUUGUGCCUCCUCAUCUCUCCACUGUUCAUAGGGAAUCCCCACUCGGCCUGAAGUGUAAGUUGAAUGAGAGGUAGCAACGAAUCAGCCUAGGCACCGCGGCAGUCUGAGCCACCUGAUCAUGCAGUCACUUGUGUCUUGCCAAAAUCCAGAAUUGAGAAGGAAACAAGAACAACGGCAGGAGAUGCUCCCUUCCUCUGCUUGAAGUCUCGGCUUAACAUCGCUCUGUGAGAUUAUCAGUGGACCUGAAAAUGGGAAGAGUCCGUCCUUUGAUUUGCCAAAAUGUAUCACCAAGAACUAACACACAAAGCUUAAAGCUUAACAGCAUACGUUUGUAGUCACGUAGACUUGAGUUCAAAUUGUGGCUCUGCCAUCACUGGCUCCUUGACCUUAGAAAAGCCAAUAACCUCUCUGUGGUCUACAAAAUGGGGAUUACCACUCCACCCACCUUAUAGGGCUGUAAUGAAGACGAAACACAAUAACACGUCACAGUGGUUAACGCAGUACCCGGUAUGUUAGACAUGUUCAAUUAAUCCAGCUAUUAUUAUUGAGUAAUAGUUCCUUAUUGCUACUCUACUGUAGAAUCUUCUAAAGUUAAGCUUAAAGAGCUCUCAAAUCCAUACGCUGUAGGUGCUUCUAAACUGAAAAGUUUAUGCCUCCUCCUCAGACCCGCCUUGGUUACCACAUCUCAAGCAGCAGGUCACCACUUCAGUAAGGCAUUCUGACUCAGAAAGUUUACACAUUUAGAGAUUAUUGUUAUCUGCUAUGCUCUAUUACAGCAUUCUUCUCUGUCAGAAAUUGAAGCACUUUUGGGCCAACGCUACUCAGAAAGAAGAAAAGUUAUUAAAACGAGAAAUUUAAAAAACAUACACAAGCAUUAGUGCCUAAAUUAACUGAAAGUACAUAAUGCCGACAGUGGGCAAGUGAUCUGGCAAUGGUGGUGGCUGACAUCACAGUCAUUUUCAGCUAACCAAGCUGUUCUUUAAGGGACUAAGACAAAAAUGGAGGCUUUCUGAAUUUUCAGACACCUGUCUUUAAUUAUUGACCUAUCUUGUUAGUGAAUCCCAAAGAUGGCAGUAAAGCUCAGAAACAGUAUUUCUUUCUUUCCAGCUGACGCUGAUAAGGACCUAUCAGAGUGGCCACUUACUUAUGGUUUCUAGAAACGCAAUUGAAGUUCAAGGUCUGGGCUCCACUGAAGUGACCAUUAGCAAAGUUCCAAAAAAGAAAGAAUGUGGGGGAGAUGGUGGCUGAUGAGAGAGAUGGUUCUCUCUUUUAAUUUCCACUCCCUGAAAGCUCUAGUCUCCACCCAUAGCUGCAGCCAACUGUGAAACUGAGACCACCGGGUCAUCUGCUUGUAUAAAUAUGGCCAUGCAGCUAGUGAUUCUGAGCAUCCGACCAAAUGAUGAUAAAUUCUCUGCAAAUCAUUUUUAAGUCCUGCUUAGACAGCUGUUUAUGUAUAGGUAUGCUCAAAGGAGUGGCCUCAGGUCAGGUCCAAGUCUUUUAUGAAACUCAUGGCUCCUGGCACGAGCCCAGAUUGCUCAUUUCUAUCCUGCCUUGCAUCAGAAUAAUCAAAUUAGACCUUAAGCUAUUAAAAUGAAGACAGAUGCACUAGAAUACUCUAACCAGAAUGGGAAAAGUGGUGUAAUUUCUCCUCCUGGGCAUUUGCUGUAUUAAUGAAACGUGGCCAAAAGUCCUGUGCUGACCAGACACAGGGCCCCUGUGUCAAGUAAAUAUAUAACAGAGGGAAACAAGGACAACUCCACAGGUGACAAGGGUGCAAAGGGUUUGUUGUUCCAACAUAAAAAACACAAAAUUUGCUAAGCAAAAUUGAAGUGAGAAACUAGGAACAUAGACAUAUAUAUAUACAUAUUUUUUCAUUCCCAAGGUAUAAAUGCAUAAAUUGAGUCUUUAUAAACUAAAGAAAAAAGACAUGAAGGCAGUAAAAUAAAACAUUAACAGUGAGUUGUGAUAUGAUGGGUAGUUUGGGUUAUUUUCUUCAAAACUUAAGUAUUUUCUACACUUCAACUUUUCUACAAUGAAUCUAUAUUACUUUAACAAAUAGGAGCAUUUACCCAAAAAAGUGGAAUUUUUUUUUUUUAACUAAACAGACUCAACGCAAACAGCUGGAACCAGAGCAGACUUAAAAGCAGAGUUAAACUCAACACUCCUUGCUAAGGAAACCCGAUCAUGAUUCUCAGCCGAGGCCAUCUCCAGCAUCCUGUCUGGGACCGGGCAGAGGGUUAGCUGAGAGAUGCUGGGAAGUCCGCUUUGGCUGGUGGUUCCAACAACACUUCUAGUCCUGAGACAAAAACCAGGAGAGUACAGUUGUUCCUGAUUGGUGGUAAGAUAACACUCAAAUUGAAAACGAUGAUUCGUCAGCUUUAUGGAGAGAACACAGGCUCACACCUCCCAAUAUGUCUCAGUCUGCAAUUAAUUGUCAAUGUGCCAUUAGAAGCCAGCCUCACAGUUAUUAAACAAAGCAAAGAUGGUGAAAACAAAACAAGUUUAUGAUCUACAACAAAGAAAAAGAGCCAAUAGAAUCGGGGACAAUACUCCAUGUGAAAAAAUAUUGUCCAACUGGAAGAGAGGAAGCAACUGAUUAUUAUGCAAAAAAAAGAGGCAACUACAAAAAAGAAUGGGGAGAGGAGGAAAAGGCACACGGAUUGAAACAAUCGUGGUCAGAAAGAGCAGGAGCUGAUGUCAUACUUGGCACUCGCUGAAGUAAUACUCAUUCCUCUGAGGGAUGGUUGAAUACGUUAAGGAAAAAUAAAAAAUAUACUAUUUGCAACCAUACCAGACUUGAUCAGGAAUGAACUCCAGAGACAUCUAUGCAUGUGGAAGAAGAUAGACACCAACCAGUUUGCGUCACAACCUGGCUGUCACGUCCCACUUACCGAAGAACUUACCACUGACGGUUUGAAAGAAAAUGCAUAUUUGUUUUUAUCAAAUAAACUCAGGAAAAUAGUACUAAAAAAUCUAUGAGUUUCAAAAGAGGUUUGGCUAAGUGCUUACAACGUCCACUGCAGUGUUUGAAGCAGCUGCCCUCCUUAGCAAAGUUGCCUGGGAACUGACCAGCCCAAAGAAGGCCUGGACCACCGUAUUUCAGUCAAAGUGUUCAGGAGCAGAAGCAAGAGAUAGCCAAACUACGCACAUCUCCAGUCUAUAAAUGCGGACUGCUAUAAGUUGAAAUAUCCUAAAUCGUCUUUGCGAGUCUCCUUUUCUUAGCUGUUCAUAAUCGUGGAUUUCCACUCAUGCAUCUCACGUUAUCCCCUUGGAAGGAAUUCACUAAAAUGUUCAUGGUAUAUUCACUACACUUGGGUGCACACCAAGUCAACAUUUAUUAGAUGUUUCUGAAUAUGAUUAUUUCAAUAGAUAUUUUUGGCAUUGUUUUUUAAUUAAAGAAAUUGUUUUUGUAUCCUAUCCUAUUCUAACUGUCCCAGCUUGCCCCUCAAGGAGUGUAAUCUCUUCCUUCUUCAGGUCUUGAUGGCUUCUGUACCUCUCUUAGGAAAUACUCUAUUUUACCUUUA